UAGGGAAUAUUGGUAAUGGGCGAAAGCCUGAACCAGCAACGCCGCGUGUGCGAUGAAGGCCUUCGGGUUGUAAAGCACUUUUUGAGGGGAUGAGGAAGGACAGUACCCUCAGAAUAAGUCUCGGCUAACUACGUGCCAGCAGCCGCGGUAACACGUAGGAGACUAGCGUUAUCCGGAUUUACUGGGCGUAAAGCGCGUGCAGGUGGCUCGGAAAGUUCGAUGUGAAAGCUCCCGGCUUAACUGGGAGAGGUCGUUGAAUACUUUCGGGCUAGAGGAUGGGAGAGGGAGGCGGAAUUCCGGGUGUAGUGGUGAAAUGCGUAGAUAUCCGGAGGAACACCAGUGGCGAAAGUGGCCUCCUGGCCCAUUUCUGACACUCAGACGCGAAAGCUAGGGUAGCAAAC
rnacentral:rRNA from 1 species